CAUAGCAGCGUCAAAAUAUUUUCCUUUUGAGUUUGCAGUGCCCAUUCGAGUAGAGCAUUAACAUUUGCUUGCGAGAUAAAAGUUAAAAAUUUGCACCUCCUUUAAUGAAUCGGAAGCGCAAAUGCAGUGCCGAGCAAAAUACGUCACAAGUCUUGUUCGUAUAAAUUAAACAGUUUUGACUAAAUUUAUGUUUUCGACUUUUUUUGCAACCAAAAGAAGAAAAAAAAGAGCGUCGUGCGUGCAAAACAUACUGCCGAUGAACAGAACGCCAUAAAUUGAAGUGGAGGUUGGAAAGAAAACUACGAAGAAAAUUUGCAGUUUUUUCUUGACGGUUGGCGCUUGCGUUUGGGCUCGAGCCUACAGCUGCCUGCCAUCUAACAGCCUGCGGCCAAAACCAAAAUAUCCGCCAUAUACAUUCUGUCAUCUUUAACGGCAAAUAGCUCAAGCGGCUGCUGCAACCAAUAUUUAGCGUAACGUAAUCGAAAUCGAAAUCGAAUGUCAACACGAUAACUCAGAAGACAAAUAAA